AGGAUUUUAGUUUAAUUCAAAACAUUUGAUUUGCAAUCAAAACAUAUUUCUAUAAAUUUAUCUUA
rnacentral:tRNA from 1 species